rnacentral:rRNA from 1 species
GACGAACGCUGGCGGCGUGCCUAAUACAUGCAAGUCGAACGCAGUGGGGACGGGUGAGUAACACGUGGGUAACCUCCCGUCAGAGGGGAUAACUCUUGGAUACAGAUGCUAAUCCGAUACUCAUGGAUGGACCCGCGUUGCAUUCGCUAGUUGGUGAGGUAAAGGCUUACCAAGGCCACGAUGCAUAGCCGACCUGAGAGAGUGAUCGGCCACACUGGGACUGAGACACGGCCCAAACUCCUACGGGAGGCAGCAGUAGGGAAUCUUCGGCAAUGGACGAAAGUCUGAUGGAGCAACGCCGCGUGAGUGAAGAAGGUUUUCGGAUCGUAAAACUCUGUUGUUGGAGAAGCGGUAACUAACCAGAAAGCCACGGCUAACUACGUGCCAGCCGCCGCGGUAAUUC